rnacentral:lncRNA from 13 species
AGAGCUGGGGACAAUUCACGAGUGCGAGAGCAGAGCGCUCCACCUGCGGGCGUGGCUGGCCACAAUGAUGGGAAAGCACGUUAGUAAUGGGCCACCGCGGCUGACCCUCGACCUCAUCGACCGCUGCCCCUCUCACCAGCCAAGUUCUGCUGUCCAGGCAGCUGCAAAGGAGUUUAAAGGGCAGCCAUCGUCCUUGGUCAGCCAGCCUCCCAUUAAUAACGUUUGCAUCUGUGACAAUGACAAACCUGCAGUACUUGAGGAGAGUUUAUUAAGGAGGUUAGAACACAGGUAGGUACACAGGAAAGACCUCGUGAUACCUGUGAAGACCGUCAUCUACAAGCCAAGGAGGGAGCCUCAGAAGGAACAACCCUGUCGACACCUUGAUCUUGGACCUCCAGACUCCAGGACCGUGAGGAAAUACAUUUCUGUCAUUU